rnacentral:rRNA from 1 species
GAUGAACGCUGGCGGCGUGCCUAAUACAUGCCAGUCGAGCGAACAGACGAGGAGCUUGCUCCUCUGACGUUAGCGGCGGACGGGUGAGUAACACGUGGAUAACCUACCUAUAAGACUGGGAUAACUUCGGGAAACCGGAGCUAAUACCGGAUAAUAUAUUGAACCGCAUGGUUCAAUAGUGAAAGACGGUUUUGCUGUCACUUAUAGAUGGAUCCGCGCCGCAUUAGCUAGUUGGUAAGGUAACGGCUUACCAAGGCAACGAUGCGUAGCCGACCUGAGAGAGUGAUCGGCCACACUGGAACUGAGACACGGUCCAGACUCCUACGGGAGGCAGCAGUAGGGAAUCUUCCGCAAUGGGCGAAAGCAUGACGGAGCAACGCCGCGUGAGUGAUGAAGGUCUUCGGAUCGUAAAACUCUGUUAUUAGGGAAGAACAAAUGUGUAAGUAACUAUGCACGUCUUGACGGUACCUAAUCAGAAAGCCACGGCUAACUACGUG